UACGGAGGGGGCUAGCGUUGUUCGGAAUUACUGGGCGUAAAGCGCACGUAGGCGGCUUUGUAAGUUAGAGGUGAAAGCCCAGGGCUUAACCCUGGAAUUGCCUUUAAGACUGCAUCGCUAGAAUUGUGGAGAGGUAAGUGGAAUUCCGAGUGUAGAGGUGAAAUUCGUAGAUAUCGGGAGGAACACCGGUGGCGAAGGCGGCGAUCUGGGGUAGAUACUGACGCUGAGGUGCGAAAGCGUGGGGAUCGAACAGGA
rnacentral:rRNA from 1 species